UACAGAGGGGGCAAGCGUUGUUCGGAAUUACUGGGCGUAAAGGGCGCGUAGGCGGCCUUCUAAGUCGAACGUGAAAUCCCUGGGCUCAACCCAGGAACUGCGUCCGAUACUGGAAGGCUUGAAUCCGGGAGAGGGAUGCGGAAUUCCAGGUGUAGCGGUGAAAUGCGUAGAUAUCUGAAGGAACAUCAGUGGCGAAAGCGACUUCCUGGACCAAUACUGACGCUCAUGUGCGAAAGCGUGGGGAGCAAACAGG
rnacentral:rRNA from 1 species